UGCAAGUCGAACGGUUGUAGCAAUACAGCAGUGGCAGACGGGUGAGUAACACGUGGGAACCUUCCUAGGGGUACGGAACAACUCAGGGAAACUUGAGCUAAUACCGUAUACGUCCGUAAGGAGAAAGAUUUAUCGCCCUUAGACGGGCCCGCGUCGGAUUAGCUAGUUGGUGAGGUAAAGGCUUACCAAGGCGACGAUCCGUAGCGGGUCUGAGAGGAUGAUCCGCCACACUGGAACUGAGACACGGUCCAGACUCCUACGGGAGGCAGCAGUGGGGAAUUUUGGACAAUGGGGGCAACCCUGAUCCAGCCAUGCCGCGUGAGUGAAGAAGGCCUUCGGGUUGUAAAGCUCUUUCGGCCGGGAAGAAAUCGCAUGGGCCAAUACCCUGUGUGGAUGACGGUACCGGAAUAAGAAGCACCGGCUAACUACGUGCCAGCAGCCGCGGUAAUACGUAGGGUGCGAGCGUUAAUCGGAAUUACUGGGCGUAAAGCGUGCGCAGGCGGUUUUGUAAGACAGGCGUGAAAUCCCCGGGCUUAACCUGGGAACUGCGUUUGUGACUGCAAGGCUAGAGUACGGCAGAGGGGGGUGGAAUUCCACGUGUAGCAGUGAAAUGCGUAGAGAUGUGGAGGAACACCAAUGGCGAAGGCAGCCCCCUGGGUCGAUACUGACGCUCAUGUACGAAAGCGUGGGUAGCAAACAGGAUUAGAUACCCUGGUAGUCCACGCCCUAAACUAUGUCAACUAGGUGUUGGGUGGGUAAAACCAUUUAGUACCGUAGCUAACGCGUGAAGUUGACCGCCUGGGGAGUACGGCCGCAAGGUUAAAACUCAAAGGAAUUGACGGGGACCCGCACAAGCGGUGGAUGAUGUGGAUUAAUUCGAUGCAACGCGAAAAACCUUACCUACCCUUGACAUGCCAGGAACUUGCCAGAGAUGGCUUGGUGCCCGAAAGGGAGCCUGGACACAGGUGCUGCAUGGCUGUCGUCAGCUCGUGUCGUGAGAUGUUGGGUUAAGUCCCGCAACGAGCGCAACCCUUGUCGUUAAUUGCCACCAUUUAGUUGGGCACUUUAACGAGACUGCCGGUGACAAACCGGAGGAAGGUGGGGAUGACGUCAAGUCCUCAUGGCCCUUAUGGGUAGGGCUUCACACGUCAUACAAUGGUCGGUACAAAGGGUUGCCAAGCCGCGAGGCGGAGCCAAUCCCAGAAAGCCGAUCGUAGUCCGGAUUGCAGGCUGCAACUCGCCUGCAUGAAGUCGGAAUCGCUAGUAAUCGUGGAUCAGCAUGUCACGGUGAAUACGUUCCCGGGUCUUGUACACACCGCCCGUCACACCAUGGGAGCGGGUUCCGCCAGAAGUAGGUAGCCUAACCGCAAGGGGGGCGCUUACCACGGCGGGGUUCGUGACUGGGGUGAAGUCGUAACGAGGUA
rnacentral:rRNA from 1 species